GUUGCAAAGAACUUUGAAGAGAGAGUUCAAGAGUACGUGAAACUGCUGAGAGGCAAACUGGUGGGCCCUCGAAAUCCCGUCUGCGGGGAGAUUCAGUCGGGUGUCGGCGGCCGUCUCGCAAUGGGUCUGUCGCAACCGAAGAUCGGGGCGCAUUCCGAGAGGCGAGUUCGCCGGAACCCGACGCAUUUCCCGCCCGCACGAAAGGACGCCGCAGCCGGUCGGGUAGCUGCGCGUGUCGGCCAUGAGGACGUUGCGACGGCAGGUGACCGGCGGCCCUAGGCUUCUCCGGAGGCACUAACGGUCGACGGUUGAUUAGCCGGCUCGUCCGUGGCGCGACACCCGACCGAGGUAACACGGACUUCGGAGUCCUCUCUCCACGGAGAGAAACUCCUUACAAUCCACUACUUUCAAUAAGAGAGAGCGAGCCGUCGGACAGGCGCGUUCCUGCGUGGUCGGACAGUCACCGCACUGGUCGAUCUGGUGGGAGCGCGUCGUUGGUUUCCGAGUCGGGAUCUCGCGGAGGAUGAAGGCUGGCGGCGAGUAGGUCGGUAACCCACCCGACCCGUCUUGAAACACGGACCAAGGAGUCUAACAUGUGCGCGAGUCGCGGGGUCUUGUUCAGGCCCAGAGGCGCAAUGAAAGUGAAGGCCGCCGCUCCUUCCCCUCGGGGUCGGAGUGAGGCGGCCCGGUUGGGACUCGCACGUGACACGGCACGUGAACGAAGCACCAACGACCCGCCCUGUUCUAUCUUCUGGAUAGGAACUCAAACGGAGUUCGAGCGCACACGUUGGGACCCGAAAGAUGGUGAACUAUGCCUGGGCAGGACGAAGCCAGAGGAAACUCUGGUGGAGGUCCGCAGCGGUUCUGACGU
rnacentral:rRNA from 1 species